rnacentral:rRNA from 1 species
UGGCGGUAUCCUAUCCUUUGAAAGGAACCUGUCCUGUAAUUGAUAAUCCACGAUAAAGAAAUACUUAUUAUUGUAUACAUUGAGUAUACCUCCGUCAUCAGAAUAUACUUUGAGGUGUAAAUAUUCUAUUAAUAUUAAAUAUUUUAUGUCAGGUCAAGGUGCAAAUUAUGAAUAAGUAGAGAUGGGUUACAAUAAAUUUAUUUAUACGAAUUAAUUUUAUUAUUAUAAUUAUGAAGGUGGAUUUAAAUGUAAAAUUAUUAAUUAAGUAAUUUGAUUUUAGCUCUAAAAUAUGCACACAUCGCCCGUCGCUCUUAUUUUAAAAUAAGAUAAGUCGUAACAUAGUAGGUGUACCGGAAGGUGUUCCUAGAAAGU